UCUUCCUAACACCAGAUGAUGUAAGGUUGGUAAACGCCAUCUCCGUAUCUUCACUUUGCUGGACAUUAAUGAUGCUGUCAGUGUGGAAAAGCUGGUGACAGGUGAACUGAAAUAAAAGAUUUGCUUUUUUCAACCUUUGACAAAAGACCAGCCACUGGUUAUUGUUGUCCAGACACCACAACAGAAGGCUCUACUCCAAGAGAACCCCCACCCCAUGGUUUUUAUGGACGCAUCCUACAAAGGUUUGACAUCAUAUGGGUAUGCACUGUAUGCCCUUGUACUUGUCAAACAACUGGAAGACGAGUGCCAUUUGCAUACCUAAUAAUGAGCCAGGAAUCCUCAGCAAUAGUUGAGCUUUGCUUGAACAUGCUUUGUUCAAGAAAUCCAAACUUUUACCCAAGGUCAGUUAUGAUCGACAGAGACUUAAAAGAGCUCAAUGCCAUAAGAGAAGUUUUCCCCAAAACCAAAGUUCUCCUCUGUUGGUUUCAUGUUCUCCAGGCUGUACAUCGCUGAGUUACAUCAAGAGAUGGUGGGAACCUGUCACCUGAUAAAAGACACGUCGUCAUUCAUGCCAUGACCUCAAUGAAAGCUUGCAUAAUGG